GGAAUAUUGGUCAAUGGAUGCAAGUCUGAACCAGCCAUGCCGCGUGCAGGAAGAAGGCCUUCUGGGUUGUAAACUGCUUUUGCCAGGGGAUAAAAUUUCCUUGCGAGGCAACUUGAAGGUACCUGGUUAAUAAGCCACGGAUAACUCCGUGCCAGCCGCCGCGGUAAUACGUAGGUGGCAAGCGUUGUCCGGAUUUAUUGGGUUUAAAGGGUGCGUAGGCGGUUUUGUAAGUCAGUGGUGAAAUAUAGCAGCUUAACUGUUAGGGUGCCAUUGAUACUGCAGAACUUGAGUACAGAUGAGGUAGGCGGAAUUGACGGUGUAGCGGUGAAAUGCUUAGAUAUCGUCAAGAACACCUAUAGCGAAGGCAGCUUACUAGGCUGUAACUGACGCUGAGGCACGAAAGUGUGGGGAUCAAAC
rnacentral:rRNA from 1 species